rfam:Schistosoma curassoni strain Dakar, Senegal genome assembly, scaffold: SCTD_scaffold0002320
AUCCAGCUGACGAGUCCCAAGUAGGACGAAACGCGCGUCCUCUAU